rnacentral:rRNA from 1 species
AUUGAACGCUGGCGGCAGGCCUAACACAUGCAGGUCGAGCGGAUGAAGGGAGCUUGCUCCUGGAUUCAGCGGCGGACGGGUGAGAAAUGCCUAGGAAUCUGCCUGGUAGUGGGGGAUAACGUCCGGAAACGGGCGCUAAUACCGCAUACGUCCUGAGGGAGAAAGUGGGGGAUCUUCGGACCUCACGCUAUCAGAUGAGCCUAGGUCGGAUUAGCUAGUUGGUGGGGUAAAGGCCUACCAAGGCGACGAUCCGUAACUGGUCUGAGAGGAUGAUCAGUCACACUGGAACUGAGACACGGUCCAGACUCCUACGGGAGGCAGCAGUGGGGAAUAUUGGACAAUGGGCGAAAGCCUGAUCCAGCCAUGCCGCGUGUGUGAAGAAGGUCUUCGGAUUGUAAAGCACUUUAAGUUGGGAGGAAGGGCAGUAAGUUAAUACCUUGCUGUUUUGACGUUACCAACAGAAUAAGCACCGGCUAACUUCGUG